CCUACGGGCGGCAGCAGUGAGGAAUAUUGGUCAAUGGACGCGAGCCUGAACCAGCCAAGUAGCGUGAAGGAUGACUGCCCUACGGGUUGUAAACUUCUUUUAUAAAGGGGUAAAGUGAGACACGUGUGCCUUUUUGUAUGUACUUUAUGAAUAAGGAUCGGCUAACUCCGUGCCAGCAGCCGCGGUAAUACGGGGGAUCCGAGCGUUAUCCGGAUUUAUUGGGUUUAAAGGGAGCGUAGAUGGGUUGUUAAGUCAGUUGUGAAAGUUUGCGGCUCAACCGUGAAAUUGCAAUUGAUACUGGUAGGCUUGAGUAUAGUUGCGGUAGGCGGAAUGCGUGGUGUAGCGGUGAAAUGCUUAGAGAUCACGAAGAACUCCGAUUGCGAAGGCAGCUUACUAAACUGCCACUGACAUUGAUGCUCGAAAGUGUGGGUAUCAAACAGGAUUAGAUACCCCUGUAGUC
rnacentral:rRNA from 1 species